rnacentral:rRNA from 1 species
ACGGAGGGUGCGAGCGUUAAUCGGAAUUACUGGGCGUAAAGCGCAUGCAGGUGGUUCAUUAGGACAGAUGUGAAAGCCCCGGGCUCAACCUCGGAAUUGCGUUUGUGACUGGCGGGCUGGAGUACUGUAGAGGGGGGUGGAAUUCCACGUGUAGCAGUGAAAUGCGUAGAGAUGUGGAGGAACACCGAUGGCGAAGGCAGCCCCCCGGGCCGAUACUGACGCUCAUGCACGAAAGCGUGGGGAGCAAACAG